GACGAACGCUGGCGGCGUGCUUAACACAUGCAAGUCGAACGGGAGGAAAAGAGAAGCUUGCUUCUUUUGAAUCUAGUGGCAAACGGGUGAGUAACACGUAAACAACCUGCCUUCAGGAUGGGGACAACAGACGGAAACGACUGCUAAUACCGAAUGUGUUCCGGAGACCGCAUGAUCUCCGGAAGAAAGGAUGGCCUCUAUUUAUAAGCUAUCGCCUGAAGAGGGGUUUGCGUCUGAUUAGGCAGUUGGUGAGGUAACGGCCCACCAAACCUACGAUCAGUAGCCGGUCUGAGAGGGAUGAACGGCCACACUGGAACUGAGACACGGUCCAGACUCCUACGGGAGGCAGCAGUGGGGAAUCUUCCGCAAUGGACGAAAGUCUGACGGAGCAACGCCGCGUGAGUGAUGACGGCCUGGUGUAAGCUCUGUGAUCGGGGACGGAAUGGCUGGUAUGCUAAUACCAUAUCAGAGUGACGGUACCCGAAUAGCAAGCCACGG
rnacentral:rRNA from 1 species